rnacentral:rRNA from 1 species
GUCCAGACUCCUACGGGAGGCAGCAGUGGGGAAUAUUGCACAAUGGGGGAAACCCUGAUGCAGCGACGCCGCGUGAGUGAAGAAGUAUUUCGGUAUGUAAAGCUCUCUCAGCAGGGAAGAAAAUGACGGUACCUAACUAAGAAGCCCCGGCUAACUACGUGCCAGCAGCCGCGGUAAUACGUAGGGGGCAAGCGUUAUCCGGAUUUACUGGGUGUAAAGGGAGCGUAGACGGCGAUGCAAGCCAGAUGUGAAAGCCCGGGGCUCAACCCCGGGACUGCAUUUGGAACUGUGUGGCUGGAGUGUCGGAGAGGCAGGCGGAAUUCCUAGUGUAGCGGUGAAAUGCGUAGAUAUUAGGAGGAACACCAGUGGCGAAGGCGGCCUGCUGGACGAUGACUGACGUUGAGGCUCGAAAGCGUGGGGAGCAAACAGGAUUAGAUACCCGAGUAAA